UCACAACCUCCAGAUGCCUUAUAUGUAGGUUAUAGAUUUGGAUCAUCCUGAAAGAAAAUUCCCCGUCGCCCCUUAGACUUAGUAGCAUGGUUAUCAGAUACUCAUAUUUAACACCUGUGGUUGCACAUGCAGGAGCAUCUUAUCAGCUGUUGUAAAUAUAUGAAGAUUACUUUUAGGGCUUUGGAUCAUAAUAUGGACUACAUAGAUGAAUUCCAAGAAACGAGUCCAAGUUCUUUCAGCUCGCAGUUUUCCAAAUAAACUUCUCCACCUAGCAUCAUAGUUUGAGAACAUCCUCGAAAAAGAACAGUUUGAGAAAUUGGAAUAUACUGAGGAAGGUUACGAAGAAGAGCUUAAGUUUAUUGAGAAGGCUGGAAAUUUUAUUCAGUUGCUCGCUGCUUUAUCAGAGCUUUGGUUAAGGUUGCUCACUAAUGAUCUGGAAGUGUUUUUGUUCUGGGUAAUUGCAUGAUUGAGGAAGAAACUGGCUAUUCCUAAAUGUGCUAUUGCAGAUCCAAGAGCCACGGUGGCGGUGGCGGGCGACCCAGC